AUUGAACGCUGGCGGCAUGCCUUACACAUGCAAGUCGAACGGUAACGGGCCUUCGGGUGCCGACGAGUGGCGAACGGGUGAGUAAUGUAUCGGAACGUACCUUUCAGUGGGGGAUAACGUAGCGAAAGUUACGCUAAUACCGCAUAUUCUGUGCGCAGGAAAGCAGGGGAUCGCAAGACCUUGCGCUGAUUGAGCGGCCGAUAUCAGAUUAGCUAGUUGGUGAGGUAAAGGCUCACCAAGGCGACGAUCUGUAGCGGGGCUGAGAGGAUGAUCCGCCACACUGGAACGGAGACACGGUCCAGACUCCUACGGGAGGCAGCAGUGGGGAAUUUUGGACAAUGGGGGCAACCCUGAUCCAGCCAUGCCGCGUGAUUGAAGAAGGCCUUCGGGUUGUAAAGCUCUUUCGGCCGGGAAGAAAUCGUAUCAGCUAAUACCUGGUGCGGAUGACGGUACCGGCAUAAGAAGCACCGGCUAACUACGUGCCAGCCGCCGCAGUAAGAC
rnacentral:rRNA from 1 species